rnacentral:lncRNA from 1 species
GUUUAGUACAGUCUUUUUUUUAUUUUUUAAUUUAGUGCCCAGAGUCCCGAUUACCAAAGAGUUGUUGAUCCAAAGCCAAGUUGACAAAUAAACAGAAUUCUGAACUUUAAUAAGGCACUUCCAGUGGACUUAGAUUGAGCCGACUAAGCUUACUGACUGGUGCCAGAAAGUAGCUGUAAAGAGACUCUGUAAAUCAAUUAACUCCAUUGUUUUUAUGGAGAUCGCUUGGUACCAAAACUUCUUUCUUUGCAUGCUUCUCUGAUCCUGUGGAGAUGAAAAUUGACAUCCAUAGUCAUAUUCUACCAAAAGAAUGGCCAGAUCUAAAAAAGAGAUUUGGCUAUGGAGGCUGGGUGCAGCUCCAACACCACAGCAAGGUGAGUUUUCCCCAAAUUGUGAAUGUGCUUUAGACAGGGACAUCCUGAGCCUGAGAUGUUCUUGCAGGUGGGCCUCCAGGGAGCUCAACUCAUGUCCUCUUAUUGACUUUGUAAUAAGCAAGGAAGCAGUACUGAGUUUCUCAAAAUUACUAGGAAAAAUGAGGGUGACUUCAAAGAGCUGUAUUUAAGAAGAGAAAAUUGCAAUUUGAGAAACCAUUAAGAAAUCUUUUUUUUUUUCUACCCUAGAACCAAUUUUAGCAUUUAUUGUUCUGCCUCAAGAAAGUGACCUGGGCUCUUUCCACAGGUUAUUACAGUAUAUUAAUGCCAACCAAAUAAAUGGCACAGUUUAGGUUUGUGCACAAGCUGGAGAAAUUAAACACUGGAGACAAAGAGGAGAAAAGCCACUUUUAUUAAAGGUUGAGUCUGGUAAGAGAAAAAGCAAGAGGAGGAAAGCCUGGGGCAAAGCAUUCUGUAAGUAGUGAGGCCUGUGCAUGAGCUGAAGUCUAGAGCUACACAGAUGCAUCUCAUGCUCUGUCAGAGGCAUCUCAUGCUCUCAUGGAGUUAAGGUCACAUUCCUGAGCUUCCAGCUAAAUGUAGACAGAGCAUGGAAGCACACCCUAGAGGACGCAUGGUCUGGGAAAGCACAAUUACCAUGCGUAGGGGUGACUUGGAAGAAAUGCAAAUUUGGGGGUAUCACCCCAGACCUGCCAUCUCAGGAAUUCUGAGGGUCAGGCCAGCAAUCUGUGUUUGAACAAGCCUCUGGUGAUUCUGACGCUCACUCAAAUCUGAGAACCUUGGGGUCAUACAUUCAUUUACUCACUUAAUGAUUUAUAUUGACACCUAUUUUGUGUCAGGCCCACCAAUCCUAGCACCAGGAGUAACCUGCUGACCCAGAAAGAAAUACUCUGGGGCAGUUCGCUCUCACCUCCACUAAAGAGGGCCCACUAAGUGCUGCUAUAGACACGGUGCUACACUUUUCCCAUUAAAAGUGCUAGUUCCUAGGGGAGCUGGUGAUGUCAGUUGGCCUUAAAUCUCCCCAAGGGAGAGUACAUUCUGAGUAGAGCUGAUUACAAGGCUAUUAAGAAGUCCACAGGAAUGGACAGACAGGUCUCAUUUGUAACCUUGAUACUGUAUUUGAAUGGCUUUCAUUUCAUUUUGUUUUCAUGUCAAGAGAUUGCAUAAACACUAAAUCUCCAAAAGAAAAUAGGAAUGAAAAUAUUUCAUAUCUACUACCUACAUAUCUCCAGCAAAACUGUACAGAAUUUAAUAGAACAAAACAGUGACAAUCUAUUUCUCUCUCUCUCAAAAACAAAACAAAUGAACAUGCAAAAGAACCGAAUAUGUAUUUUUCAUAAUUAGAAUGGUCAGAGAUUACAGCCACUGGAAAAACAACAGGCAAAUAUAUAUGAAUAUAGAAAUUAGGCUAAGCAAUGAGAAAAUCCAGUAUUUGGAGCUGAAAUUUCUUUUUGUUCUCCUACAUUCCUUUGAAUAAAUAGCUUGUGGCCCCCAAGACUGAUUUGCCUCAGAGAUUCCUGUCCUCAGAAAAAUCUUUCCAAAACAUUUCUUUGGUCUGCCAUUUGUUUCUCUUUUUAACCUUUGGCUUUUCAGUGCCCUUGGAAUGAACCAAGAAGUAUUUGUUUGCCACAGGAAAGCUUUGUUCAGAACUAAAAAACACCAUUUAUCCUUGGUUGAGUGGUGAUAAAAGUAUAGGUAGCAAGCCAGGUUGUGUAGCCUUUCGGGAGCCGUUUAGGGUGGUGAAAAAAUACCUAGGAGCAUUUCAGAGGGUAGACAUAGGGUCCUUUUCAAAUCCAUGGGUCAGAUGAAUCUAGAAACAUGCUACUGAGUGGUUUCCAGGCCUUUGGGAAUACAAAUACAGACAUGCACACAUGUGCACAUAAACACGUGCCUGUGCAUGCAUAUACACAAACACAUCAUUUCCAUCCAAUUAGCAUUUUUCACACACUAGUCUGUGUGAUCUCAUCAGGUUGCUGCUCUCAAAAUGAUUUCCCUCAGAUAGAAAAACCUACCCAGAUUUUCACCUGUGUCCCAAGCACAGGACGUUCCAUC